AUCAUUGGGUUAGAUCUGCUCUCUUCGCAAGAAGAGGGUUUCCAUACACACCGUGAACUGUGGCUUCGGCCAUCACAAACUGUUAGUAAUGAAUGUAAUAUCAUAACAAAAACAAAACUUUUAACAACGGAUCUCUUGGCUCUCGCAUCGAUGAAGAACGCAGCGAAAUGCGAUAAGUAAUGUGAAUUGCAGAAUUCAGUGAAUCAUCGAAUCUUUGAACGCACCUUGCGCCCUUUGGUAUUCCGAAGGGCAUGCCUGUUUGAGUGUCAUGAAACCUCACCCCACUUGGGUUUUUGCCUGAGCGGUGGUGUAUUGGGUGUUGCCUUGCUAAAGGCUCGCCUUAAAGACAUAAGCACCUUGGAUGUAAUACGUUUCAUCCUUCUGGGUGGCUGAUAACCCCACAUAUUCAUGAUCUGGCCUCAAAUCAGGUAGGGCUACCCGCUGAACUUAAGCAU
rnacentral:sRNA from 1 species